rnacentral:tRNA from 1 species
GGGUGAUUAGCUCAGUUGGUUAGAGCGCUUGCUCGACACGCAAGAGGUCAACGGUUCGAAUCCGUUAUCGCCCA